GACGAAGGGGGCUAGCGUUGUUCGGAAUUACUGGGCGUAAAGCGCGUGUAGGCGGCUAUACAGGUCCGCUGUGAAAACUCGAGGCUCAACCUCGAGACGUCGGUGGAAACCGUAUGGCUAGAGUCCGGAAGAGGAGAGUGGAAUUCCUGGUGUAGCGGUGAAAUGCGCAGAUAUCAGGAAGAACACCCGUGGCGAAGGCGGCUCUCUGGGACGGUACUGACGCUGAGACGCGAAAGCGUGGGGAGCGAACAGG
rnacentral:rRNA from 1 species